UCCCAAUGAAGAAACAUCCACAUGUCUUACUUCCUGUCCUAGUUCCAGAGCCUGAAAAGGUGAACCCACUGGAACUGGCUGGGGGAAAAGAGGAAAAUUUUGUUCCAAAAUGGACUGUCUGAGGGAU
ensembl:snoRNA SNORD22 Small nucleolar RNA SNORD22